AAAACAUCUAGAACCGCUAUAGCGGUGGCUAGCGCGGCCACCAAUGUAUCGCCAUACGUCUCCAUUAACAAAGCGCCGAGUGCGGGCGAAAUAACCUAAAAAGAAGCAUACAAAGUGGUUGAGUCUACAUACUAUGGUAUUCAUCAGCUCAAUUAACAUGCACACAUAUAGACAAUUUGUAUAUGCAUAGAGUUGUGUACAUACCAGACUGGCGGCGAAUGUUGCUGAAACUAAGCCGUACGCACGCGAACGCUCCUCCACGGUAGUGACAUCAGCCACAUAGGCGAACACUACGGAGAAUGUAACGGCCAGCGCACCACUUAUGGAGAUCAUUGCGAAGAACCACCACGAAUUGAUGGCCAUCAGCGGUAUUGGUGCGCACGUAAAGAAUACUGUGAUGAGUAGGAAAAAUUUACGCCCCCAAAUGUCGGAGAGCGCGCCCACGAGUGGUGCACUCAGAAAGGACAAGAUGCCCUUAAUGCCCAUGACCAGUCCGUUCAUGAGGAACGUGUGAUCGGGAAACGUCUGAUUCAGGGUC